UACAGAGGGGGCAAGCGUUGUUCGGAAUUACUGGGCGUAAAGGGCGCGUAGGCGGCCUUCUAAGUCGAACGUGAAAUCCCCGGGCUCAACCUGGGAACCGCGCUUGAGACUGGCACGCUCGAGUUCGGGAGAGGAUGGUGGAAUUCCCAGUGUAGAGGUGAAAUGCGUAGAGAUGGGGGAGAACACUCGUGGCGAAGGCGGCCAGCUAGACCAGUUCUGACACUGAGGCGCGGCAGCGUGGGGAGCAAACAGGG
rnacentral:rRNA from 1 species